rnacentral:snRNA from 1 species
CCCCGUUACAUCUCUUUAAAUUUGUCUAGCUGGUUUUCGGGUCUUUUCCCAGAAAAGUCCCC